UGCCUUACACAUGCAAGUCGAACGGCAGCACGGGAGCAAUCCUGGUGGCGAGUGGCGAACGGGUGAGUAAUGCAUCGGAACGUGCCCAGUAGUGGGGGAUAGCCCGGCGAAAGCCGGAUUAAUACCGCAUACGACCUAAGGGUGAAAGCGGGGGAUCGCAAGACCUCGCGCUAUUGGAGCGGCCGAUGUCAGAUUAGGUAGUUGGUGGGGUAAAGGCCUACCAAGCCGACGAUCUGUAGCUGGUCUGAGAGGACGACCAGCCACACUGGGACGGAGACACGGCCCAGACUCCUACGGGAGGCAGCAGUGGGGAAUUUUGGACAAUGGGCGCAAGCCUGAUCCAGCCAUGCCGCGUGCAGGAAGAAGGCCUUCGGGUUGUAAACUGC
rnacentral:rRNA from 1 species